ACUUUAUCAGCUAUAUAUUUAAAUAUAUGUUAAAUCCAAUGUUCAUAUUUUUAGUGACGAGAAGUAUAUAUAAACAAUAAACAAUCAUAAGAGUAACUGCAUAUUAAGUUACUACAUGAAUUUGACUUUUUCUUUGAAAAGUCUCCUUAUAUAUGUAUGGAUAUAUAGAAAACAUUUAUGUUAUAAACGUUUGACUACUUGUAGAAAGGGGCUGAUGCUUACAAACUUAUUCACGGGCAUGAUUGGUAGCCCAUAAAAAGCCAUAAAAAACCAUAAAAGCCCAUAAAAGGCCCUCUUCUUCAACCUUCUCCUCCGUUUGGCAGAACUCGAAUUUGUUGGCGAACCCGGUAGAAAAAUCCCGGAUCUUGCUGGUUUUGAGAUUAGAUUCGGCGACUGAGACAUUCCAUUAUCGGUGACAAAAGCAGCCACAUACCCAUAAUCAUGAGACACUGAUUCGGCAGUGAUCGUGUGCGAGCGGCCGUCUAUCAUAACAUUGUUGGGGAGCUGGCGUUGGUGGAUGUUGGUAGAAUCGGCAGUGAUGAGCAGGAGCAGGUUUUGGAUAAGCUGAUUGCCGCUGUGAAUGAAGAUAUGGAGGGUAUUUGAGAAGAAUUAUGCAGAGAUUUGACGUAAGUAGGCCUGGAAUUUCCAAAAGUCGAGGUUCGGUUUGAGAAUCUGAAGGUCGAUGCUUUAGUUCAUGUCGGAAGCAGAGCUCUGCCGACUAUACCUAAUUUCAUUUUUGACAUGACUGAGGUAAACAUGCGAGAACGAAAAUCCAAUAUGCCAAGUGGUCUCUAUUUUCAAAAUUAAGCUAACAUGUUCAAUGGAAACAUGGCGUGAAAAAUUGGCCUUCUUGAGGCAGCUCAGAAUUUUCUCUGGUGGAAGACGAAAAGAAACACAUGCAAAAGAAAACCUUCAUCUAUUGAGUGGACUCAUACAAAGGAGCAGUGAGGAGUCUUGAAAGAGAUACAAUGAUACCCGAACUCUCUAAAAAAGUAGGGAUAUUUUUGGCAAUGCACGUAAAUAAACUGCAGACUGAUCAAGAGCAUAUUACCAAACUGACCCAACAGGCAUACUUUAAGGGGGUGUUCGGUUGGUAAGAUUAAAUCUCAUGAUUAAAUAUGUAUCAUGUUUGAUUCAUAAGAUUGAACCCUUCAACUUAAUCCUAGAUGGAUAGUCUCA